rnacentral:rRNA from 1 species
ACGCUGGCGGCAGGCCUAACACAUGCAAGUCGAGCGGUAGAGAGAAGCUUGCUUCUCUUGAGAGCGGCGGACGGGUGAGUAAUGCCUAGGAAUCUGCCUGGUAGUGGGGGAUAACGUCCGGAAACGGACGCUAAUACCGUAUACGUCCUACGGGAGAGAGCAGGGGACCUUCGGGCCUUGCGCUAUCAGAUGAGCCUAGGUCGGAUUAGCUAGUUGGUGGGGUAAUGGCUCACCAAGGCGACGAUCCGUAACUGGUCUGAGAGGAUGAUCAGUCACACUGGAACUGAGACACGGUCCAGACUCCUACGGGAGGCAGCAGUGGGGAAUAUUGGACAAUGGGCGAAAGCCUGAUCCAGCCAUGCCGCGUGUGUGAAGAAGGUCUUCGGAUUGUAAAGCACUUUAAGUUGGGAGGAAGGGCAGUAAAUUAAUACUUUGCUGUUUUGACGUUACCGACAGAAUAAGCACCGGCUAACUCUGUGCCAGCAGCCGCGGUAAUACAGAGGGUGCAAGCGUUAAUCGGAGUUACUGGGCGUAAAGCGCGCGUAGGUGGUUCGUUAAGUUGGAUGUGAAAUCCCCGGGCUCAACCUGGGAACUGCAUUCAAAACUGACGAGCUAGAGUAUGGUAGAGGGUGGUGGAAUUUCCUGUGUAGCGGUGAAA